rnacentral:lncRNA from 1 species
AUGUAUGUAAUAAAUUAUUUUUUAAGCCAUCAAAUAUUUUGUUCCAUCUGGUCUCUUUCUAUACAAUGGUUCUAUUUGUACUGGCUACUGGAAAUAAAUGAAGGCAAUAUUCUCCCAGGUAAGAAACAAGCCUCACACAAUGCCCACUGUAAUCACUGUGAAUUAAUAGGUUGCUCCCGCUGCUACAACAGGUCCACAAAGCCGAGGUGCUGGCAUCCAUCAUCCAGAGCAUCUCCAGUGAAAGAAGGCUUGGAAGAGAGUGGAAGUCUCAUCAUAAUGCCUAUGCUUUAUGUUUCUAUUCACUAUUUGCAGUUCUGGAGUUCACUGCAGUAAAUUCCCACCAUUCACCAGCAUACAGCCUUGUUUACAGACCGAAUUUGUUGAUCAGGUUUUCCUAUUCAUUGUCACCCAAGCAGCAGGUUGCGGGUCUCCCUGAGGGUAAGUUUUACUAAAGAAUAGGAUCUUAACUUGAGAAAGCCACCUCUCUCUGUGACUGAUUCAGAGAAAAGGCAGGAUGGAAGGAAAACUGAGACUUGGGAAGAAGAACCGGAUAAAUAUGUUCAUGGAGCUUCAGUAUAAUAUAUAUAUAGUAAUAUGUAUAAUAUAAUUAUGUAUAAUAAGUAGCUUUCAGCAAAUUGGUGCCUCUAUAACAGCAGGUUAGUAGGUUAUGUGGUAUGUUCUCUCACCCAACAUUUGCACCAAGAAACUCUUCAAGCACACAGAGGUGAAUUAGUAGCUGGAAAUCAUAGAAUAGUCUGAGUUGGAAAAGAUCUUCAGGAUCAUCGAGUCCAGCCAUGAUCCUGACCUACUGAGUCCCAUCACUAAACCAUGUCCCUUAAUGCCACAUCAACACGUCUCUUGAAUGUCUCCAGGGUGGGGGACUCGCAGCUUCCCUGGGCAGCCUGUUCCAGUGCUUGACCACCCCUUCCAUGAUGAAAUUCUUCCUGAAGUCCAAUCUAAAUCUCCCGUCUGCAACGUGAGGCUGCCUCCUCAUGCCCUGUAGCUUGUCACCUGAGAAGAGACUGAAAUGCCACAAAUGAGCCCCCGCCUGGCCUGCUGAAGGGACUGAGCUGCCUUGGUUGCAAGCUGAGGGCUGUUGGCUCAUACCAGCCUGCAGCUCCCAUAUCACCUCCUCCUUCACCAUCCCCCUCCUACUGUCAGCUGUGGCAAAAAGCAGGAGCAGGCAGGGGUUUUGCAGGAAGAAUUUGCUCAAGAUACAACAGAAAUUGCUUAAUACUGUGCCUCCAGUAGCAGGGGACAGCAGUCACCUGUGGCCAUCAGAUUGCCUGCUUUCUGCUGCCCCCUCUUGUAAGAACCAGCAGUCCCCACAGCU